rnacentral:antisense_RNA from 1 species
GUGUUGGGGACUUGAGAUAUGUACAUGAGUGUUUGUGAUGUUUCCUGGUGAAAGCACAGGUGAGACGUGGUCUUGUAACACAGUGGUUAAGAAUGUGACUUUGGAGCCAGCCUGCUAGGGGCUGAAUUCUGACUCAGCCAUUUAUUAACUGUGUGACCUUAGGUCAUAGAAUUUUCCACACUCCUUGACGGAGGUUCUUAACCCUUAUCCAUCAGCAUUCUCAGACAGCACCUCCGGUUAGGGACAGUAUCUGACCGUCCGACAUCCCUGCAGCCCCCAUGCUGUCACACAGACUCAGCCUCAGGUAGAUGGUUUCCGUAGAUGGUGGCUUUCUUUGGACCCUUGAUAUCAACCAGUUACUAUUUG